GGGUUAGAAAUAAAAUAAUAAAAAAAUUUUUUUUGUAAUUGUAUUGGUAAAGAUAAUUUAACAUUAAUAUUAUUUGUUUACGAAAGAGAUAAAAGAAAUAUAUUUAGAAGAAGUUGGUGUUCGUACUUUUUGGAGAAUGGCUUAUAGAGAGAAAUUAUAAUAAUUUAUGUUCCCGAAAAUCUCAGAGCUAUUAUUUUAUUAUUUCUUACUGUUGCAAAAUUGAGUUAUAAAAAAAUAAUUGGGGUGAUAUGUUUAGCGAAGAGGUUGAUAGCUGGUUUGAGAAGAAACAUAUUUAAGUAUGGGGUAAAUUUUUAUUUAGCACAAUUUUGUUAAUUGUAAGGUAUUUACUCAUGUUUUAAAGGUUAAGCUUUAGAAUUAUUUUAUGAUAAGAAUGGUAUAAUAAGAUUUACAUUGUUUAUUUUUAGAAGUUUAUAACAAAUUAAUCAUUUUAUUUAAAAUCAAAAGACUUUACUAUUCUCUUAAUUAGCAGUAAUUAACUACAGGUUAAUUAGUAUAAGAUGAGUACUUAUAAGGUAGAAAAAUACAUUACGAGACGUUAUUAAUGAAGUAUUUUAUCGUAAGAGUUAUGGAUUUAAGGAAAGUAAUAUUUUAAAAUUAAUAUGGCUAAAAUUUAUAAUAUAAUAAUUAUAUUAAAGGAACUCGGCAAAUAUUCUCUGUGCCUGUUUAUUAAAAACAUGGCUUUUUGUUCGUAAUUUAUAUAAGAAGUCUUACCUGCCCGGUGACUAGAUUGGUUAAACGGCCGCAGUUGUCCUGUGCUAAGGUAGCAUAAUAAUUAGCUCUUUAAUUGGGGGAAAGUAUGAAUGGUUUGACAUGGAGAUACUGUCUUUAAUAUAAAAAAGGAAAUUUUUAUUUAGGUGAAAAAACCUAAAUGUUUGUAAAAGACGAGAAGACCCUAUCGAACUGAAUUAGAAAAGUACUAGUUAAAAGUGAAUUAACGACUAGUAUGUUUUUGAAUUUUUGUUGGGGUAACAAUGGGCUAAGAAUAUCGCCCUUUUAUUAAAUAAAAAUCCUGUUUGAUAGAAAAAAGCAACAGUUACCGUAGGGAUAACAGCGUAAUAUCUUUCUAAGAGGCCUUAUUGAGGAAAGGGUGUGCGACCUCGAUGUUGAAUUAAAGAAACUUUAUGGUUGUAGAAGCUGUAAGAGUAAGACUGUUCGUCUUUUAAAUCUUUACAUGAUUUGAGUUAAGAUCGGCGUGAGCUAGAUUGGUUUCUAUCUUUAUAUAUUCUCUUUCAUUGUACGAAAGGAUCCGAAAGGGGAGUUUAAACUUUAUUGAAUUCUAAUAAAUAGUAAUUAGAC
rnacentral:rRNA from 1 species